rnacentral:misc_RNA from 1 species
GAUGAAGAACGCAGCGAAAUGCGAUAAGUAAUGUGAAUUGCAGAAUUCAGUGAAUCAUCGAACCUUUGAACGCACAUUGCGCCCCCUGGUAUUCCGGGGGGCAUGCCUGUUCGAGCGUCAUUUCACCACUCAAGCCUCGCUUGGUAUUGGGCAACGCGGUCCGCCGCGUGCCUCAAAUCGACCGGCUGGGUCUUCUGUCCCCUAAGCGUUGUGGAAACUAUUCGCUAAAGGGUGUUCGGGAGGCUACGCCGUAAAACAACCCCAUUUCUAAGGUUGACCUCGGAUCAGGUAGGGAUACCCGCUGAACUUAAGCAUAUCAAUAAGCGGAGGA